GCGCGCGCAGCGGGCCGGCAGUGGCGGCGGAGAUGGAGGAGGGAGGCCGGGACAAGGCGCCGGUGCAGCCCCAGCAGUCUCCAGCGGCGGCCCCCGGCGGCACGGACGAGAAGCCGAGCGGCAAGGAGCGGCGGGAUGCCGGGGACAAGGACAAAGAACAGGAGCUGUCUGAAGAGGAUAAACAGCUUCAGGAUGAACUGGAGAUGCUCGUGGAACGACUAGGGGAGAAGGACACAUCCCUGUAUCGACCAGCGCUGGAGGAAUUGCGAAGGCAGAUUCGUUCUUCUACAACUUCCAUGACUUCAGUGCCCAAGCCUCUCAAAUUUCUGCGUCCACACUAUGGCAAACUGAAGGAAAUCUAUGAGAACAUGGCCCCUGGGGAGAAUAAGCGUUUUGCUGCUGACAUCAUCUCCGUUUUGGCCAUGACCAUGAGUGGGGAGCGUGAGUGCCUCAAGUAUCGGCUAGUGGGCUCCCAGGAGGAAUUGGCAUCAUGGGGUCAUGAGUAUGUCAGACGCUGGAUUCCUUGACCCACAGAGAAGUGCUUCCCCUGAAGCUGUGCUCUCUUAAUCGUCUGGGACUAUCUGUAGGCAUCUGGCAGGAGAAGUGGCUAAGGAGUGGCAGGAGCUGGAUGACGCAGAGAAGGUCCAGCGGGAGCCUCUGCUCACUCUGGUGAAGG
rnacentral:sRNA from 1 species